rnacentral:rRNA from 1 species
AUUGAACGCUGGCGGAAUGCUUUACACAUGCAAGUCGAACGGCAGCACGGGUGCUUGCACCUGGUGGCGAGUGGCGAACGGGUGAGUAAUACAUCGGAACGUACCCAGUCGUGGGGGAUAACGUAGCGAAAGUUGCGCUAAUACCGCAUACGUCCUGAGGGAGAAAGCGGGGGACCGUAAGGCCUCGCGCGAUUGGAGCGGCCGAUGGCGGAUUAGCUAGUUGGUGGGGUAAAGGCCUACCAAGGCGACGAUCCGUAGCGGGUCUGAGAGGACGGCCCGCCACACUGGAACUGAGACACGGUCCAGACUCCUACGGGAGGCAGCAGUGGGGAAUUUUGGACAAUGGGCGAAAGCCUGAUCCAGCCAUUCCGCGUGAGUGAAGAAGGCCUUCGGGUUGUAAAGCUCUUUCGGCAGGGAGGAAACGGCUUGGGAUAAUACCCCGGGCUAAUGACGGUACCUGAAGAAGAAGCACCGGCUAACUACGUGCCAGCCGCCGCGGUAA